CCUGGUGGCUCAGAGGGUAAAGCGUCUGGCUGCAAUGCGGGAGACCCAGGUUCGAUCCCUGGGUCAGGA
rfam:TPA: Bos taurus chromosome 5, whole genome shotgun sequence.